rnacentral:rRNA from 1 species
GAUGAACGCUGGCGGCGUGCUUAACACAUGCAAGUCGAACGAUGAAGCCCAGCUUGCUGGGUGGAUUAGUGGCGAAAGGGUGAGUAACACGUGAGUAACCUGCCCUUAACUCUGGGAUAAGCCUUGGAAACUGGGUCUAAUAUCGGAUAGAAGAGUCCCCCGCAUGGUGGGUGUUGGAAAGAUUUAUCGGUUUUGGAUGGACUCGCGGCCUAUCAGCUUGUUGGUGUGGUAAUGGCUCACCAAGGCGACGACGGGUAGCCGGCCUGAGAGGGUGACCGGCCACAUUGGGACUGAGACACGGCCCAGACUCCUACGGGAGGCAGCAGUGGGGAAUAUUGCACAAUGGGCGGAAGCCUGAUGCAGCGACGCCGCGUGAGGGAUGACGGCCUUCGGGUUGUAAACCUCUUUCAGUAGGGAAGAAGCGAAAGUGACGGUACCUGCAGAAGAAGCACCGGCUAACUACGUG